rnacentral:rRNA from 2 species
CCUGAUGCAGCAACGCCGCGUGAGGGAUGACGGCCUUCGGGUUGUAAACCUCUUUUAGCAGGGAAGAAGCGUGAGUGACGGUACCUGCAGAAAAAGCGCCGGCUAACUACGUGCCAGCAGCCGCGGUAAUACGUAGGGCGCAAGCGUUAUCCGGAAUUAUUGGGCGUAAAGAGCUCGUAGGCGGUUUGUCGCGUCUGCUGUGAAAUCCCGAGGCUCAACCUCGGGUCUGCAGUGGGUACGGGCAGACUAGAGUGCGGUAGGGGAGAUUGGAAUUCCUGGUGUAGCGGUGGAAUGCGCAGAUAUCAGGAGGAACACCGAUGGCGAAGGCAGAUCUCUGGGCCGUAACUGACGCUGAGGAGCGAAAGGGUGGGGAGCAAACAGGCUUAGAUACCCUGGUAGUCCACCCCGUAAACGUUGGGAACUAGUUGUGGGGUCCUUUCCACGGAUUCCGUGACGCAGCUAACGCAUUAAGUUCCCCGCCUGGGGAGUACGGCCGCAAGGCUAAAACUCAAAGGAAUUGACGGGGACCCGCACAAGCGGCGGAGCAUGCGGAUUAAUUCGAUGCAACGCGAAGAACCUUACCAAGGCUUGACAUACACGAGAACACUCUAGAAAUAGGGGACUCUUUGGACACUC